rnacentral:rRNA from 1 species
GAUGAACGCUGGCGGCGUGCCUAAUACAUGCAAGUCGAGCGAACAGACGAGGAGCUUGCUCCUCUGACGUUAGCGGCGGACGGGUGAGUAACACGUGGAUAACCUACCUAUAAGACUGGGAUAACUUCGGGAAACCGGAGCUAAUACCGGAUAAUAUAUUGAACCGCAUGGUUCAAUAGUGAAAGACGGUUUUGCUGUCACUUAUAGAUGGAUCCGCGCCGCAUUAGCUAGUUGGUAAGGUAACGGCUUACCAAGGCAACGAUGCGUAGCCGACCUGAGAGGGUGACCGGCCACCCUGGACCUGAGCCACGGUCCAGACUCCUACGGGAGGCAGCAGUAGGGAAUCUUCCGCAAUGGGCGAAAGCCUGACGGAGCAACGCCGCGUGAGUGAUGAAGGUCUUCGGUUCGUAAAACUCUGUUAUUAGGAAGAACAAAUGUGUAAGUAACUAUGCACGUCUUGACGGUACCUAAUCAGAAAGCCACGGCUAACUACGUG